AUCCCUGUAGCGCAGUGGAUGGCGCUUUGAACUUCUAAUACCAAAAGUCGUGGGUUCGAAUCCCACCUGGGAUG